UGUCCUCGGCAGUGUUCGACAGCGCAUUCAACAUUUUGCCUUGUUCCUGUAUCGACCCCGGGACAGCCACGCGAACGUCUGUGCGCAAGUCCGCCCCGAGCGGAAAGCCUGAUGACGACGCAAAGCUCUCCCACCUGAACCAUUUGGUUCAAGGUCGUUCGAUGUGCAUCGGCACAGCGGAGGACGC
rfam:Xanthomonadales bacterium 63-13 scnpilot_p_inoc_scaffold_136, whole genome shotgun sequence.